rnacentral:rRNA from 1 species
CACGGAGGGCGCUAGCGUUGUUCGGAUUUACUGGGCGUAAAGCGCGUGUAGGCGGAUCGUUAAGAUGGGGGUGAAAUCCCGAGGCUCAACCUCGGAACUGCCUUCAAAACUGGCGACCUGGACUCAAGUAGAGGCAAGUGGAAUUGCGAGUGUAGAGGUGAAAUUCGUAGAUAUUCGCAGGAACACCAGUGGCGAAGGCGACUUGCUGGACUUGUAGUGACGCUGAGACGCGAAAGCGUGGGGAGCAAACAGG